GUGCAGCAGUAGAACCCAAUAUAACUGUGAAGCAAAGAUACGAAUUAAAAGUGACACCCUGUCGGACUGUCACCUGGUACAUAACCACGAUCCACCCAGAUACAUGAUGUUAAAAGAUGGCUCCUAUAUAAGAAUUAAGCACUGGAUCCACGAUGAUUCGAGCAGCUUUUCGUUGCACGCGGUCAAAUGGAUCAGGCUGAUACUGGAGUGCGCCAGACCAGAGAUGACAGCAGCUAGAAUGUGGGCUUUAUAAAUAUCCAGUUUUUGAUUACAUUAAAACGAACAAAGGAUCAAUCCUUGCGAGAGUCAACGGAUAUACGUUUGGCAAACUGAGCAAGAGUUCAUACUGGUGGGGAUGUUCAAAACGAACCAAUAGCAACUGUAAAGCUAAAUUACAAAUUAAGUCCGACAUUGUAUGUAGUUAUUACUUGAAACAUAAUCAUGACCCUCCUAAAUACAUGCAAUUACAAAAUGGGAUCUAUGUUAAGUUGUAAGUUCAAUCAAAUCAUAACCGAUUGCCUCAGAUAAUUUAUACGUCUAGAUAGAGUCUCUUGCUGUAAGACAAUCGAUAAAAAUGGGCGAGGAAUAUUAGUUUACGUGACAAGCUACGUCUUACACUCGCGAUUUGUAUGACACUCGGACUUUGUGUUAUUGUACGUGAAUUGAUCAUCUCAGACGUAAAUUCUGAACUCAACUUUUUACGACGUUUGCACAGCUGUCGAUAGUCUAUCUAGAUGUAUAAAUGAUUUAAGCCCAUAGAAUUGAAAAAUUCAUUGAACGAAUAUAGAUUUAAGUUUAGCACUAAGUUUAUGCUUAAAAUUUACCUUUUCUGUUUAUUUGGAAGAUGUUACAUCAAAUCUCACAUGGCUAAUUUAAUUCGAUUUGAAGUCAAAUUGAGUUUUCAACCAAACAAAAACUCAAUAACUCACGCAAAAGCAAAAGAAUAGGACCACUGCGCCGUUGCCAGCUUGGCACUCAGCAUGGCUUGUGUUAACAAUAAUAGUAGGUUAUGGCAGUGUUGAUCUACCUUCAUAAGUACCUAUAAGUAAACGAUAAUAAAUAUUGUUUAAUUAAGAA